rnacentral:rRNA from 1 species
AGUGAACGCUGGCGGUAGGCCUAACACAUGCAAGUCGAACGGCAGCACAGUAAGAGCUUGCUCUUACGGGUGGCGAGUGGCGGACGGGUGAGGAAUACAUCGGAAUCUACUUUUUCGUGGGGGAUAACGUAGGGAAACUUACGCUAAUACCGCAUACGACCUACGGGUGAAAGCAGGGGAUCUUCGGACCUUGCGCGAUUGAAUGAGCCGAUGUCGGAUUAGCUAGUUGGCGGGGUAAAGGCCCACCAAGGCGACGAUCCGUAGCUGGUCUGAGAGGAUGAUCAGCCACCCUGGAACUGGGACACGGUCCAGGCUCCUACGGGAGGCAGCAGUGGGGAAUAUUGGACAAUGGGCGCAAGCCUGAUCCAGCCAUACCGCGUGGGUGAAGAAGGCCUUCGGGUUGUAAAGCCCUUUUGUUGGGAAAGAAAAGCAGCAGGUUAAUACCCCGCUGUUCUGACGGUACCCAAAGAAUAAGCACCGGCUAACUUCGUG